rnacentral:misc_RNA from 1 species
UUGGCGGGAUUUCGCCGUCUACGUUUCUCUUUCUUCGCGGACGAACACGCGCUGGGCCUGCAACGGCAGGUCCGGGGUCCUUGACGGGAUAUGCGUUAGGGGCUUGUAGCUCAGUUGGUUAGAGCGCGCGCUUGAUAAGCGUGAGGUCGGAAGUUCAAGUCUUCCCAGGCCCACCACUUUCAUCGAGUGAGCAUUCGUCUUCUGGUUACGGGGCCAUAGCUCAGCUGGGAGAGCGCGUGCUUUGCAAGCAUGAGGUCGUCGGUUCGAUCCCGUCUGGCUCCACCAGAUGGUUUGAUCAACGAGAUCUUGUGCCGUCGUCCGCGAAACAUCACUUCGCAUUCACUAGUCUGGAUAGACAGUGAACUGCGUGUUUUCUGACAUCGUAAAGAGGAGAUCGAUCCGAGUUGGGUCGUGCAGCAUAUCGUUGCGCGAGCCUUCAUUAUCUCCGGAUCAUUUUCGGCGCUCGACGCUGACCGCAAGGUUGGCUGCGAGUUGUAAAAUGAUCCUUUUAGCGAAGCUUGACCGCCUCGCUAUCGGAACGAUCUUACGAAGCAAGCUGGUCUUUCUAGUCAAUGUCCGGCUGUACGUAGCAUUCAUCGAGGGUGCGCGCCGCAAGGCAAUCGUACAGACAACAUUCUGCCGAGUGUGUGGACAUUGAUAAUGAGAGCAAUCAAGUGCCUUAAGGGUGUUCGGUGGAUGCCUUGGCGCUGAGAGGCGAUGAAGGACGUGCUACGCUGCGAUAAGCCGUGGGGAGCUGCGAAGAAGCUUUGAUCCGCGGAUUU